AUCAAAACAAAAGUGAAAAUUAAUAAAACAAAGUUGUUAAUAGUACUGCUGAUUAACUGUUGUAUCUAUAUUAUAUAAAUAAUUUUAUACAAAAUGAUCCAGAGUCAACUAAUUCAUCGAUCUAAAAAGUGACUUCAUCAUAUCCGAAGAAGUAUUUCCCUACGUAACUUGGCUCUAGCUGAUAGAGGAUUCUUUCAGGAUCUCUUUCCAGACACCGCUGGGUAAACAACAAUCAAUCUACGCCGGCUUUGAUCAAGCUGCCGAUAGUCUAACGUUGGCAAUCUCCUGGUAAUAAUUGGACUUCUGCAUGGCAUCGAGAAAGACACAAUCCAAUUGCGUUAGUUGGAAUACGGGUCUUAUCGGUAAUCCUAGUGGCAAAACAAAACGAAAUAAACUAGGGUUGUCGGUCAUUGAGACAAAUUAGAGUCGUCAACAAUGCAUCAUGGUAAGAAAAUCUGAAUGUAGAGGACUUUGUUGCCAAUAUGGGAAGACACUUUCGAAUGGGAUUACUGCUCUCAAUAUCGUCAGUCCAGUCGCGACUUAAUAGUGCAGCUAGAAUGAGCUUUACCGAAUUCACAUAACAAAUUUUCCAGGGUUAUGACUUGUUGCAUUUGCUUCAGAAAUACAAUUGUCGCUUUCAAAUGGGAGGCAGUGAACAAAUGGGUAACUUAAUGACUGGCCACGAA